ensembl:lncRNA
GUUUAAUAUUUGGAAAAAGUGGCACCAAACAUCUGUCUGCUGUCACCGUGUGGCAACACUAAUGGUGCCGGGCGUCAGGAUUAGUGCAGAGGCAAAAGGCGUGAGAGAGAGAGAGAGAGAGAGAGAGCGAGAGAGAGAGAGAUGGCCGUAGGGAAAUAGAACAAAAUGAGAGAAGACAAGAGGAGAGACGGAGAAAUGACCAGAGAAAACAUGUGGGUCACUUCAUCGCUGUCCGAAAGGUUCUCAUUCAUCCUCCCCCUCUUUUACCACAUGGCCCCUGAAGGCAAACUUCAGCUGUGUAGAAAGACAGCAUCGCCUCUGUCAGGACAAGAGCAGAAGUGACUGCGAGAGCUGUUGCUGCAGACAGAAUGUGUGUGUGUUUAAAACCUACAGGGAUCCAGUCAAACCUGACAUGUUUUAUGUGCUUCAAAACCUGAGCUAAACUUGUCCCUGGCACAACACGCAAUCUUCUCUCAAACCACUACACCACCAUGCAGCCCAAAACUGCCUCCUAACUGCUUCUUCCCAGGGAAUCUUUGGGUGGAUAAUGUUGAGCCUGGCUUAGCCCUGCUCGCAUGCACAAGCACAUGCACACGAGCACAUAUAUAUACAUAUAUGAACCUGCACAUACACCACUAGUCCUGUGUUAUCAGUGCCUUCAGUGAGAGAAACACCUCCUUAAUCAUUUCAUAAGAUCAUUUGCCUGGCAGAUAUGCCUCAGGCUUUUCCCAUUACCCCUGGCUGCCUUGACCUAGAUAUGUGUGUGUGUGUG